rnacentral:lncRNA from 1 species
AACAACAAAAUUCUGUAAAGCAAUUAUCCUUCAAUUAAAAAAUAAAUGAAAAUUUAAAAAUUGCUUGUCAAGGGCAAAUACAGGUCUUAAAGAUAUUCUCCACAAAUAAUGAAAGCCUUUAUUUAGACAUUGUAGGUUGAUCCACCCAUCCAGCUGCAUAAUAUCUGGUUCUAAAGGGGGUUGUCAUAAUAGAAAGGGCAGUAUGGAUAGUCUUCUGCAGGGGAUAAAUCUCAGUGUUACAAAAAGGAUGUUCAGAGAUAGAUGGAUAGCAGGUAGGAGAACAUUGUGGUGGACAUUCAGAGGAACAGGAAGGAGCAGAGGGAGCUAGCGAGAGCACUCUUAGGACUUCAGAGGAUUUUUCCAAAGUGGAAAUGCUCUGAGAUCCCCAACCAAGCAUCGAAAGUCUUAACCACUGGAUUGCCAGGGAAACCCCACUUACCAAUUCUGUAUGCAGUAGUGUGUAUAUGUUAACCCCAAACUCCUAAUUUAUCUCCCCCCUCUUCCUUUUGAUAACAAUAAGAUUAUUUUCUCUGUUUGUGAGUCUGUUUCUGUUUUCUAAAUAAGUUCAUUUGUAUCCUUUUUUAGAUUCUGCAAAUAAGCUAUAUCAUAUAUUUGUCUUCCUCUGUCUGACUUACUUCACUUGGUAUAAUAAUUUCUACAAACUAGUGAGUUUUGUAUUAUACCUGAUUAAGGACUAAACUUUUAAAAUGAAAACUGUGAGAUCUUGUGUCUGUUUGUGUAGAUAUCUAUGUAUGUACAUUAUAAAUAUAGAUAUGGUGUUUUUUCCUACGUUCAGAUGGUGUUGCUAAAACUAAUUUGUAAAAGAGCUCUAUUUAAUUGGCUUAAAACAAAAAAGCACUGUAUAAAUUGAGUAUAUCCCCUGAUAUAUAACAGAAACUAAGCCAAAUGUUUUUUAGGUUCACAUGAUCUAGAAUUAAUCCACGGUAAAUAAAGCUAAUUUGUUUACUGGCUUAUUCCUAUUGGUCUGCUCUUGAUAAUAAGUGACUGUAAAAGGUAGAGCCUGUUUUGUCAAAAUUGCACCUUAUUUUCUACAUUGUCUUUAUCAGGUCUUUAGUCCUCCGGAUAUUAAAAAAGCUAAAUUUUGCUCAGAACUAUAUAACCUUCUAUGUUUGCCUGUGAAGUCAUUGUUAUUAUUAUUUAAAUGAAUAACUAAGUAUAUUUUCACAAUGACCUAUGAUCCUGUUUGACCAAGUGUUUUGAAAAACUUUGAUAUUUUUGACAGACUUUCCAAAAUGAAAUUCUCAACAAAGUCUUUGUGACUUAGAACUAACUCUGAGAUUUGAAAUAUUUCACAGGG